rnacentral:rRNA from 1 species
GACGAACGCUGGCGGCGUGCUUAACACAUGCAAGUCGAACGGUGAUGCUCCAGCUUGCUGGAGUGGAUCAGUGGCGAACGGGUGAGUAACACGUGAGCAACCUGCCCCAGACUCUGGAAUAAGCGCUGGAAACGGCGUCUAAUACUGGAUACGAAACUGGCCCGCAUGGGCAUGGUUUGGAAAGUUUUUCGGUUUGGGAUGGGCUCGCGGCCUAUCAGCUUGUUGGUGAGGUAAUGGCUCACCAAGGCGACGACGGGUAGCCGGCCUGAGAGGGCGACCGGCCACACUGGGACUGAGACACGGCCCAGACUCCUACAGGAGGCAGCAGUGGGGAAUAUUGCACAAUGGGCGAAAGCCUGAUGCAGCGACGCCGCGUGAGGGAUGACGGCCUUCGGGUUGUAAACCUCUUUCAGCAGGGAAGAAGCGAAAGUGACGGUACCUGCAGAAGAAGCACCGGCUAACUACGUG